GCGGAAGUGGUGGAAUUGGCAGACACGCCAGACUUAGGAUCUGGUGCGCAAGCAUGGGGGUUCAAGUCCCCCCUUCCGCA
rnacentral:tRNA from 1 species